GAUCAGUGGUGAUCAGUUGGUAGAGCAUGAGAUUCUUAAUCUCAAGGUUGUGGGUUCAAGUCCCACAUUGGGCG
rnacentral:tRNA from 1 species